GAAUCUUGCACAAUGGGCGGAAGCCUGAUGCAGCGACGCCGCGUGGGGGACGAAUGCCCUCGGGUUGUAAACCCCUUUCGGCAGGGAAGAAGCGCAAGUGACGGUACCUGCAGAAGAAGCUCCGGCUAACUACGUGCCAGCAGCCGCGGUAAGACGUAGGGAGCGAGCGUUGUCCGGAUUCAUUGGGCGUAAAGCGCGCGUAGGCGGUUUGGCAAGUCGGAUGUAAAAUCCCGAGGCUCAACCUCGUGACUGCAUCCGAUACUGCCCGACUAGAGGUAGGUAGGGGAGAUCGGAAUUCCUGGUGUAGCGGUGAAAUGCGCAGAUAUCAGGAGGAACACCGGUGGCGAAGGCGGAUCUCUGGGCCUGACCUGACGCUGAGGCGCGAAAGCUAGGGGAGCGAACAGG
rnacentral:rRNA from 1 species